rnacentral:tRNA from 3 species
GGGCCGGUAGCUCAGUUGGCAGAGCAGGGGACUUUUAAUCCCAAGGUCGUUGGUUCGAUUCCAACCCGGCCCA